rnacentral:rRNA from 1 species
GCAUAACGCGAAGAACCUUACCAAGGCUUGACAUAUACGGGAACGGGCUAGAAAUAGGGGACUCUUUGGACACUCGUGAACAGGUGGUGCAUGGUUGUCGUCAGCUCGUGUCGUGAGAUGUUGGGUUAAGUCCCGCAACGAGCGCAACCCUCGUUCUAUGUUGCCAGCACGUAAUGGUGGGAACUCAUGGGAUACUGCCGGGGUCAACUCGGAGGAAGGUGGGGAUGACGUCAAAUCAUCAUGCCCCUUAUGUCUUGGGCUUCACGCAUGCUACAAUGGCCGGUACAAAGGGCUGCAAUACCGUGAGGUGGAGCGAAUCCCAAAAAGCCGGUCCCAGUUCGGAUUGAGGUCUGCAACUCGACCUCAUGAAGUCGGAGUCGCUAGUAAUCGCAGAUCAGCAACGCUGCGGUGAAUACGUUCCCGGGUCUUGUACACACCG